UACGGGGGGGAGCAAGCGUUGUUCGGAUUCACUGGGCGUACAGGGUGUGUAGGCGGUUUGGUAAGCCUUCUGUUAAAGCUUCGGGCCCAACCCGGAAAGCGCAGAGGGUACUGCCAGGCUAGAGGACGGGAGAGGAGCGCGGAAUUCCCGGUGUAGCGGUGAAAUGCGUAGAGAUCGGGAGGAAGGCCGGUGGCGAAGGCGGCGCUCUGGAACGUUACUGACGCUGAGACACGAAAGCGUGGGGAGCAAACAGG
rnacentral:rRNA from 1 species